rnacentral:rRNA from 1 species
GAACGGGUGUAGCAAUACAUCCGUGGCGAACGGGUGCGUAACACGUGGAUAACCUUCCUUGAGGUGGGGAAUAACCCAGUGAAAAUUGGGCUAAUACCGCAUAACAUCGCGAUGGCACAUGCUGAUGCGAUCAAAGGCGCAAGUCGCCACAAGAGGGAUCCGCGGCCGAUUAGCUAGUUGGCGAGGUAAUGGCUCACCAAGGCAAUGAUCGGUAGCCGGACUGAGAGGUUGGCCGGCCACACUGGAACUGAGACACGGUCCAGACUCCUACGGGAGGCAGCAGUGGGGAAUCUUGCGCAAUGGGCGAAAGCCUGACGCAGCGACGCCGCGUGGGGGAUGAAGCUUCUCGGAGUGUAAACCCCUUUCGACCCGGACGAAACGCCCGCAAGGGCUUGACGGUACGGGUAUAAGAAGCCCCGGCUAACUACGUG